rnacentral:tRNA from 1 species
ACAUUGGUGGUGCAGUGGUAGAAUUCUUGCUUUCCAUGCAGGAAACCUGGGUCUGAUUCCUGGCCAAUGCA